AUGGCCUCAUUCAUCCGUGUAAUCUUUGGUCCUGCUCCUGAGUUCUGUCCUGACCACUUCGCUCUCCCAAAGGUAACACCGGGGCUUAAACCGAGCCGUGAUCACAUUGACAGUAGACACCCAAGACUCCAAGAUGGCAUCAGUCAUGCCAGUGAAGAAGGAACUCAAGUUGCCAAACCAAGGGAGCUGCCAACCUGGAUACUGAUGUGGAAUUUCACCCCUAACGGCAUUGUUGGAGCAUUUCAAAGAGGUUACUUACCACCGGUCUCACAACCAGUACGUCAGUGUGAACAAAGGGAGCAUUGCUGGCGUUUCUAUGGUGCCGGCGGACCUGUCUUUCAACUACUGCUUUCCUUACACAGAACUCACGUGUGCCCAGCCACGCACAGACCACCGCAGAGAGUGUGGAGGGUGCACUCUGUAAUCCUGACCAUCUUUGCUCAGCACCCCUGAAUCCUUUCAUAUCCUAAUUGAGAAUUAACACCCAAUAAAGAAAUACUGGCUAAAAAACA
rnacentral:lncRNA from 1 species